ACAAAACUUAGGCUUUUAAGAUCCGAUUGCGGGUCUAGUUGUUAUACAAAGUCAUACACAUGACAUCUAGUCAUAUUUGACUCCAAAACACUAACCAAGCUUCUUCUUGCUUCUCAAAGCUUUGAUGGUGUAGCCGAAGUCCGUAUAAGUCGUUGGCUUUGUAUCUUCUAACAAGGAAACACUACUUAGGCUUUUAAGAUCUGAUUGUGGUAGUUCUUCUACUCAAUCAUACACAUGACAUCAAGUUAUAUUUGACUCCAAAAAACUAACCAAGCUUCUUCUUGCUUCUCAAAACUUUGAUGUUGUAGUCGUAGUCCGUAUGAGUCUUUGUCUUUUUAUC
rnacentral:sRNA from 1 species